GCGGGUGUAGUUCAAUGGUAGAACGCUGGCUUCCCAAGCCAGCAGUGUGGGUUCGAUUCCCAUCACCCGCUCCA
rnacentral:tRNA from 1 species